rnacentral:rRNA from 1 species
UACGUAGGUGGCUAGCGUUGUCCGGAUUUACUGGGCGUAAAGAGCUCGUAGGCGGUGUGUCACGUCGGCCGUGAAAACCUGCAGCUUAACUGUGGGCGUGCGGUCGAUACGGGCAUCACUGGAGUUCGGCAGGGGAGACUGGAAUUCCUGGUGUAGCGGUGAAAUGCGCAGAUAUCAGGAGGAACACCGGUGGCGAAGGCGGGUCUCUGGGCCGAUACUGACGCUGAGGAGCGAAAGCGUGGGGAGCAAACAGG